UGCUCCACCGAAAGAAAAGGAGUGGCAAACGGUGAGUACACGUGGGUAACCUGCCCAUCAGAAGGGGAUAACACUUGGAAACAGGUGCUAAUACCGUAUAACAAUCGAAACCGCAUGGUUUUGAUUUGAAAGGCGCUUUCGGGUGUCGCUGAUGGAUGGACCCGCGGUGCAUUAGCUAGUUGGUGAGGUAACGGCUCACCUAGGCGACGAUCCCUAGCUGGUCUGAGAGGAUGACCAGCCACACUGGAACUGAGACACGGUCCAGACUCCUACGGGAGGCAGCAGUGGGGAAUAUUGCACAAUGGGCGCAAGCCUGAUGCAGCCAUGCCGCGUGUAUGAAGAAGGCCUUCGGGUUGUAAAGUACUUUCAGCGGGGAGGAAGGUGUUGUGGUUAAUAACCACAGCAAUUGACGUUACCCGCAGAAGAAGCACCGGCUAACUCCGUGCCAGCAGCCGCGGUAAUACGGAGGGUGCAAGCGUUAAUCGGAAUUACUGGGCGUAAAGCGCACGCAGGCGGUCUGUCAAGUCGGAUGUGAAAUCCCCGGGCUCAACCUGGGAACUGGAUUCGAAACUGGCAGGCUAAGUCUUGUACAGGGGGGUA
rnacentral:rRNA from 1 species